rnacentral:rRNA from 1 species
UGAACGCUAGCGGCAGGCUUAACACAUGCAAGUCGAGGGGUAACAGGAGUGCUUGCACUCGCUGACGACCGGCGCACGGGUGCGUAACGCGUAUAGAACCUACCUUUUACUGAGGGAUAGCCUUUAGAAAUGAAGAUUAAUACCUCAUGGUAUUGCAAUUUGGCAUCAGAUUGUAAUUAAAGAUUUAUUGGUAAAAGAUGGCUAUGCGUCUUAUUAGCUAGAUGGUAAGGUAACGGCUUACCAUGGCAACGAUAAGUAGGGGCCCUGAGAGGGGGAUCCCCCACACUGGUACUGAGACACGGACCAGACUCCUACGGGAGGCAGCAGUGAGGAAUAUUGGGCAAUGGAGGCAACUCUGACCCAGCCAUGCCGCGUGCAGGAAGACUGCCCUAUGGGUUGUAAACUGCUUUUAUACAGGAAGAAACACACCUACGUGUAGGUGCUUGACGGUACUGUAAGAAUAAGCACCGG